GGGGUUGUGGCUCAGCGGUAGAGUACUUGCCUUGCAUGCACGAGACCCUGGGUUCAAUCCUCAGCACCACA
rnacentral:tRNA from 1 species